rnacentral:rRNA from 1 species
GACGAACGCUGGCGGCGUGCUUAACACAUGCAAGUCGAACGGAAAGGCCCUGCUUUUGUGGGGUGCUCGAGUGGCGAACGGGUGAGUAACACGUGAGUAACCUGCCCUUGACUUUGGGAUAACUUCAGGAAACUGGGGCUAAUACCGGAUAGGAGCUCCUGCUGCAUGGUGGGGGUUGGAACGUUUCGGCGGUUGGGGAUGGACUCGCGGCUUAUCAGCUUGUUGGUGGGGUAGGGGCUUACCAAGGCUUUGACGGGUAGCCGGCCUGAGAGGGUGACCGGCCACAUUGGGACUGAGAUACGGCCCAGACUCCUACGGGAGGCAGCAGUGGGGAAUAUUGCACAAUGGGCGGAAGCCUGAUGCAGCAACGCCGCGUGCGGGAUGACGGCCUUCGGGGUGUAAACCGCUUUCGCCUGUGACGAAGCGUGAGUGACGGUAAUGGGUAAAGAAGCACCGGCUAACUACGUG